AGAUGACUGCUGGUAGUUUAUCUAUUAGAGGAAAGUCCAUGCUCGCACUUCCUGAGAUGGAAGUAGUGAUUACGCUAGAGGAAAAAAUAACUCUAGGCAGGAGGAAGCUCCUGACGGCGGGAGAUGACCUAAGGGCAACUAUGGUCAAAUCCCUUAACGCUCCACAGUGACGAAUUUCAGGGAAACUUGAAAGUGAAACGCGGAAAGCCCCUUAAGCGAGAAACCUAAAUUUUGGUAAGGGAAGCACGAUCCGAGAACUGAAUCGGAAAGGGCAAGGUUAGUUUCUAACCUUAGAUAAAUUGUCAUCCUCGACAUAACAUGGCUUAUAG
rnacentral:RNase_P_RNA from 1 species